AAACGGUUAACUUACAUUUAUAGCAACAUUAGCAGUAAUUUGGUGUCUUGUUUCCGGCCAACUGACAAAUAGCUUAUGCCAGCCCAUACCGUAACCCCACCGCCACCAUGGGGCACUCGCUGGCAUUAACAGACUAGGAUUCAUCUGUGAAGAGAACUUCUCCAAAGUGCCAGAUGCCAUUGAUGGCCUUGGAAAACCUAUUCCGUGAGGGGAGGCUUUGCCCAAUCACAAGUCAUUCCAGAGGGAGGGCACGCCCUUUCGAUGAAAGCCUGAUUCAAUGGCCAAGAUUCUGCAGAGAAAGUUGCUAUUGCAGCACUGCUGCCAACUGCAAAGCAACCCAAAAAUGGAGGGUGGACUUAUCAAAAGGACAGUAUAAAAGAGAUUCUGACACGCCACAGACCACCUCACCAGGAGGAGAGCAGGCAGCACCUCCAUAGAAAGACUUCCAGUCAGUGGCCAUCACAACCCGAAUCUCCAAACCCAGACCUCAGCUCUAGAGGACCUGACAGCUGCAACAUGCCACCAGAUCAACAAACUCUCUGCUGUUGCUGCCGUCAAACAGCAAUGUCGCCCUGUUCCAAGAUCUCAGCAACUCACCUGGCACCAUCUCAUCAAUUAGGAAGAUCUGAAGCCACGCAUCAAAGAAUGACAUGAACAUCAGGUUGUUUGAUGUAAACAGCCCUAAAGAGGCCCCCAAGCAGAUGGGCCACACUAAUAAACGUCUGUUAUGUCAUGCUCUUCAAACAAUGCAACGCAGUAAUUUACAAACAAUCAACAAUGCAGAGGAGCCAUUAAGAGAAGCAAUUAAAAUCUGAGGUAUUAAUUAUGUGACUGCGUACAAUUAAGCAGUGAAAUACAGCUUUUAAGGGAAGCCUGUUUUUAAAAUGUUUGUUACAUGUCAGUUCAGUCAAUAAUUUAUAGGAAUAUGUUAAAGAUUUGAUUAUGAGCAUCCAGAGGCUUACAAUCACACUGCAGUACUGUGUGUGUAGCUUAUUGCACCUUGAAGUGUAAGAUAAAAUGAUCAUAAACAACCAGUGGCUUACCUACACUCCCUCCACCCUUGACACAGUCUGCAGCAAAGGGAGCAAUCAACAGGCUAUCCAAUUUUAUCCAACUGCCUAAAUCAUGACGCAUCCACCUCCCAGUUUACAUUACUGUCAGAUGGAUAAAGCACACAGCUCUUGUUUCAAGGUUGCCUUUUAUUUUACUGUGAGCCAGCUGACAAACUCCUCAGCUGCACCAAAAUAAAAAACUUUUAAUUGGCCUGCCACUGUUGCUCACUGAUAUGCAGGAAGUUGUGCGAGUAUGUGUGUGUGUGUGGCAUCUUCAGAGGUUAAAGUCUAUGCGGCCUCGUCAUUUUGAAGAUCAGUACACCCAUUUCUUUGAAUUAUUACACAUUCUGGUUACUUAAGUAUAAAAAAGCCAAAAAUCUAUCCUGCAUAAAGGCAUCUAAUUUAUUUUGGUAUGAAAACUGUAAAGUGUAUUAAUUUUCAAAAUAAAAUAUGACACCUAUGGACCCUGGCAUCUAGAGUUGGGUAAUGAACUCAGUACUUUUAAGGGUACCAACCGA